rnacentral:rRNA from 1 species
AAAAGAUCGAAUAGGGAGAUUCAUCGUCAGCAUGUCUCGUAUAUGUGUGAGUUAUGAUGCGAGUUACUUUUGUAUUGCUUGCACGUUCUUGCACAUUUAGUUGCGGAAUAUGUCGGCGUGCACUUCUCCCUUAGUAGAACGUCGCAACCCGUUGGGUGUCGGUUUAUGGCCCAAGUGGGAGUCUUUAACGUUUUUAACAUUGAAGACCCUUGGGGUUCUCUNACAGACUGCCGGGGGGCACUCANAGGGUAUUAUCUCGCAUGUUUUGCG